UACGGAGGGGGCAAGCGUUGUCCGGAGUUACUGGGCGUAAAGCGCACGCAGGCGGUCUGCUAAGUUUGGAGUGACAGUUGGUGGCUUAACUGCCAAAGUGCUUCGAAAACUGACAGACUUGAGGGCUUCAGAGGGACACGGAAUUCCGGGUGGAGUGGUGAAAUGCGUAGAGAUCCGGAGGAACACCAAAGGCGAAGGCAGUGUCCUGGGGAGUACCUGACGCUCAGGUGCGAAAGCCAGGGGAGCGAACGGG
rnacentral:rRNA from 1 species